rnacentral:rRNA from 1 species
AUUGAACGCUGGCGGCAUGCCUUACACAUGCAAGUCGAACGGUAACAGGUCUUCGGAUGCUGACGAGUGGCGAACGGGUGAGUAAUACAUCGGAACGUGCCCGAUCGUGGGGGAUAACGAAGCGAAAGCUUUGCUAAUACCGCAUAAGAUCUACGGAUGAAAGCAGGGGACCGCAAGGCCUUGCGCGAACGGAGCGGCCGAUGCAGAUUAGGUAGUUGGUGGGAUAAAAGCUUACCAAGCCGACGAUCUGUAGCUGGUCUGAGAGGACGACCAGCCACACUGGGACUGAGACACGGCCCAGACUCCUACGGGAGGCAGCAGUGGGGAAUUUUGGACAAUGGGCGAAAGCCUGAUCCAGCCAUGCCGCGUGCAGGAUGAAGGCCUUCGGGUUGUAAACUGCUUUUGUACGGAACGAAAAGACUCUGGUUAAUACCUGGGGUCCAUGACGGUACCGUAAGAAUAAGCACCGGCUAACUACGUG